GUAGUCAUAUGCUUGUCUCAAAGAUUAAGCCAUGCAUGUCUAAGUAUAAGCAAAUUAUACAGUGAAACUGCGAAUGGCUCAUUAAAUCAGUUAUCGUUUAUUUGAUAGUGCCUUUACUACUCGGAUAUCCGUGGUAAUUCUAGAGCUAAUACGUGCUAACAAUCCCGACUUCUGGAAGGGAUGUAUUUAUUAGAUAAAAAAUCAACGCUCUUCGGAGCUUUUUGAUGAUUCAUAAUAACUUGUCGAAUCGCACGGCCUUGUGCUGGCGAUGGUUCAUUCAAAUUUCUGCCCUAUCAACUUUCGAUGGUAGGAUAGUGGCCUACCAUGGUUUCAACGGGUAACGGGGAAU
rnacentral:rRNA from 1 species